GGGCAGAAAUGCACCAGGGAAAGGACAUAACGAAACUGGUUUUAUCAGAACAGCCUGCCUGAGAGAGAUCAAGCAGGGCACAGGCCAAUGUGAUGAGUGUGGGGAAGGCCAUAGAAAGGACCGGCGAAUGCUGGCAUUGAUGUGUGUUAUUUUAACAUUUCUGAAAUCCUGUUCUUAGUCUGCACACCUUGUCCGAGGCUCCGAUGUUAUCCAGGUCACCAGGUAUGCCCCUGGGCUCCUGCCGCAGCUGAUCGGGUGCUAGGUGCUGAGGAUACACGGCUGGGAGAAAGCAAUUGGAAGAAAUGCAAAGCUCUUCAAAGGAGACCUAUAAAGUCAUCUUUGUUUUGUUCAUUCUUCUCAUGUUUCUGCAUUCUGGGCAUUCUCCUAAAUUGGGGAGAAACCAAAAUGCCCAGAAGUCAAAUUCUGCAACUGUCAUCAUGCAAAAUGUCAAAUGAGAGAACCAAAGUAUGCUGGAUUCUAUAUUGUUAGGAAGGGAUGGUUAAUUUGAUUGACUCUUGGGAGCUAUUUUUCUAGCAUUAAGUAAUUCUAGGGAACCCUUCUGUGAUCAUCUCUGAGUAAAUAAAGAAGUGAAAUUGCAAUUCAAAUAAG
rnacentral:lncRNA from 1 species